AAAUGCCUGAACAAUUAGUUUAGAUCCGAGAUUCCGCGCUUCCACCACUUAGUAUGAUUCAUAUUUUAUAUAAUAUAUAAGAUAAGCUCAGGUAUCGUAAGAUGCAAGAGUUCGAAUCUCUUAGCAACCA
rnacentral:tRNA from 1 species